rnacentral:rRNA from 1 species
UACGUAGGGCGCAAGCGUUGUCCGGAAUUAUUGGGCGUAAAGAGCUCGUAGGCGGUUUGUCGCGUCUGCUGUGAAAACUCGGGGCUUAACCCCGAGCCUGCAGUGGAUACGGGCAGACUAGAGGUAGGUAGGGGAGAAUGGAAUUCCCGGUGUAGUGGUGAAAUGCGUAGAUAUCGGGAGGAACACCAGUGGCGAAGGCGACUACCUGGCCUGUUCUUGACGCUGAGGCGCGAAAGCUAGGGGAGCAACGGGG